ACCACAGUGAACCCUGCAAAACAGAGGAGCCCCUGGGUGGGAGGGGAUAUAACUGGAACUCUGGGAAUGUAACGGGCAUGGUGUGCUUGUCUGAUGGACAGGGCAGCUUAGGGGAAUAAGUCUCUGCAGCGUUGUAGUGAAGAGAGAAUACGGGACAACUGCAGGACCACAGCUCAGCCAAGAGCUCCCUUGCAGCUGAGUUGGCCAUAUGACUGACAGCAAGCCCUGGAAUGCAGCCAGAAGUGAUAGAAGCCUCUUUCACACCAUGCUCCUAAAAUAUUCCAAGAAAUUUUCCAAACCUACUCUUUUUAGUCUGUGCAUCUGGAAGUGAAAGUUUUAGAAAGGGUAAAGUCACUUAAUGGAAAGGGCCCAGAUCUAGCCCCUCGGAGCCAAGCUGUCCAACUAGAAAUUCUGCAUUAGUAUUUGCGACCCCAGUAAAAAAAAAAAAGUCCCACAAAGAUGUAGGAUCUCACUUUGCCUGCGUUAAUUCCCUGUCCUUUGCCCAGUUUCUCCUCUCUUGGAAGGCAGAGGCAGCUUCUGAUUUUGAUCACUUCAUGUCCAGAUGUACCUUCCACGACCCAGGACUGUCUUUCUCAACAACUUGGAAGCCAUCCCUUUGUAAUGUAAUGAUCAAGAAAAAUAGGGCCCAUGCCUACCUGUCUCCAUGGGAAGUGAAAUGAAACAAGACCAUCAAUUAAAUGUGAAGGGAAAGGGUGUCAGAUGCUGGAGGAGCAAGAGAAGAUGUGAAGCAGUGUCCCAGAGGGUGCUGGACUGAGCUGACCAGGGAACACUAACAGCUGUCCGGGCAGGGCAAACUGCCCACUUGAGAUUUAUGGUCAGAAGCUAGAUGAUCCUCUGACUAUCAUUGUUUCAGCAAUGUUAAUGGAUGGAAAAUUUGGAUAUAAUCUUUAUAUUCUAAGAAGGCUUUUUAAGUUUAUUUUAAACUGAGGGGGAUAAAAAUAGAAUAGAAAUCAUGUUAUCAUAGGCAACUAUGCACGAAUGGAAGGAUGCUUAAAACCAAACUUUGUAACCUAACUUUAAAAUAAUAAUAAUGAUCUUUAUUCUCAUUUCCCUCUAUACAUAAAUUUGCCCCAUAUAAGAUUAGAGGGCCAUUUUCUUUGAUUUAAAGAGUACUGUACCAUCAAGGGAUAUACUUCUAAUCUCUGCCACUAGAAAACUGUAAGAUCCUAAGCAAUUAUUUAAUCUCACUGCAGCAGAGAUAGUAGGUUAGCACCUCAAUGUCUUGUUUGCCUUUCUCUUAGAAAGAACUCUCAACUCCUUAGCUGAGCAGAUGGCUCCAAGAAUCAAGACUACAUUUCCCAACUUCUUUUGCAGCUAGGUGCGCCCAUGGAACUAAAUUUGGACCAAUGAGACAUAAAGAAAAAUGGUAUGAGACAGCUUCUAGAAAACUUCCUUUAAGAACGUGACAGGUUCUCCUUAUCUACCCUUUAAUAUCUUCCUCCACACAGUGGCUAGAGUUCUAGUCAUCAUCCUGGACCGUCCUAAAAAUGGCAAAACAGUUAGCUAGAUAGAGUAUGAGUCACUAACAGUUUUUUAGAAGCCACAUCAACCCUGGAAUACAAACCUCCACCCUUCAAUAAUGUGAGAGAGAAUGCUAUCUCUAUCAAGCCAACUGAACUGAAUCAUGAUUGAUAUGCUUAGUCUCAAGUCUUAGUUUUCCCUUCCUUAAACUAAAGCUAUCGUCAAGUUUUCUGUGCAAAUGUAAAAUUAUCAUUUACAAUGCCAUUUCUGUUUCAGAGAUCAAAGUGGAAUCUAGCUUCAAUUGUAUGUUUAAUGCCCUCCUGAAAUCUAUUUAGUGUUGCCAAGGAAGGUGAUACCCAGAGUUUUAAGUCCUCUCUUCACGUGUACAUCUCCACAGAGUUAAUGAUCAUAAUGUUUGAUCUCUGAGGUUCAGCAACACAGUUCUGACUCUAGACUUGGUUUGACAUUUAGCGCAAACAGGCAUUGUGGGGUAUUUUCUAUGAGCUACUGGAACACCCUCCGCCGAACAGUUCCACUAGUUUGACUCGCGUAUUGUCCUAUGUAAAAAACAAAAAUGGAAAAUAAUACCUCUUGUGAAAAUUUACUACCAAAUCAUCCUUUCUUUAGCCAUUCUGAAUAAAAUGAUCAGUAUCUGCCAUAAAGUUUAUUAACUAAGGAAGGAUGCCUUUAUUUUUAGUUCUAAAAUGCUAUCACAAAAAGUACAAAAGGAAACAUGCCAGAUGAAAACAAUUAUUCAAAACAAGUUUGGUAAAACCUAUGAUCUUUAGGAAAUAAAAUAUUGAACUUACAUUAUUUUGAUAAUUUGUAAGUAACGGUGUAAAAAUGUUUUCCACAUUGCUGAACUAGAACCCUUUCCCUAUCAUUUAUUAAAAGUCUCCCUGGAUUUUCAGGCAAUUUAGAGAAAUGUAACUUGCAGGAGAAAAAACUUAUAAAAUAUAGUGUUUUAACAAAAUUUCUCUUUUUGCACACUACACAAAUAAUACUGAGCCAACAGAAACUUUCGUAAAAGCCAGCAUGGAAGUCUGUCUCUGUAUUUUUUUUUAAUCUCUCUCUGGAUUUAAUGCCCUCAUGAAGCUUGAAUGGAAUAUAUGCAUGUCACAGCAUGGCAGAGGGAUAAUAUAUUUCCCCCUGCUUCACUGAGCAUGAGUUGUGUAUCUUGCCAUCUUGAGAGUCCACAGUGCAGCACGUUUAUCCCUAUUAGAAAAGCUCAGUCUAAUAAUAUAUGGAUGCUGCAGCCAUUUAUGACAAAUAUGUAAAAUCAUAACCUUAUAUAUUCUGGAGAUGGAUGCAUAUACAUUGAAUCUAUUAACUAUGCACUGACAGAUUUUUGUUAAAACUAGGUUUUCAACCUCAAAGACUAAAAGGGCAAAUAAAUUGAUUAUAUUUGUAUAUUUAUGUAGCCUCAAACUUUAAUUUCAAGGCAGAAAAAAAGAGCAGUGCCACUGUUGCCACUUCGGCCAUACUUGGAUUCACUUUGCCCACCCUGAGCACACAGCUAUUCAGAUCAAGGCAUAUGUUUAUAAAUACUGUUUGAUUAAUUUUGAUAAGACAUUCAGCUUUUUAUCAUCUCAUUUUAGAAAUGAAGGUCACAGCAAUGAAAGAGUAUAUUUGUAAAAGUGACCAAAAAAUAAGCAAAUAUUUACGGUUCAAAUCCCAACAUUUUCUAAUUAUAUAACCUUGGGCAAAUUUACUUAACCCAAGUCUAGUCUCAAUUUGCUCACCUGUAAAACGGGGAUGAUAAUCAUACCUAACUAAUAGGAUUGUAUGUAAAGUGUUUAGCAUGUCAUUGGGACUCAAUAAAUGUUGGCUAUUUUCAUCAUGACUAUUCCCUCAGAACCGUCGCCAGUAUAUCAGUGGGAAAAAGUGAGCAUAAUCUGUGAAAGAGAGUAGGUAGGAGAGCAAUCAUUAACUGUGCUCUCCAGUUACUCUUAUCUGCUCCCAAGGGGUAUAAUGUGAUGCUGUCUCUAAACACACCUGAGAAAGACACAAGAUCCUGAGAACAGCACAAAGGCCUGAUAAUCCCUACAGAAGUCUUGUUUUAACCAGACUUAAACCGUACACUCCAAAAUUUAGGUCUGCAUCUACAUCUAAUUAGUACACAGAAAAACAAACAACCUUACAACCAAGAGAAAAAUGGCCAGGG
rnacentral:lncRNA from 1 species